CCUACGGGUGGCUGCAGUGGGGAAUAUUGGACAAUGGGCGAAAGCCUGAUCCAGCCAUGCCGCGUGUGUGAAGAAGGCCUUCGGGUUGUAAAGCACUUUCAGUGGGGAAGAAAGCCUUGGGGCUAAUACCCUCGAGGAAGGACAUCACCCACAGAAGAAGCACCGGCUAACUCCGUGCCAGCAGCCGCGGUAAUACGGAGGGUGCGAGCGUUAAUCGGAAUUACUGGGCGUAAAGCGCGCGUAGGCGGUCUGAUAAGCCGGUUGUGAAAGCCCCGGGCUCAACCUGGGAACGGCAUCCGGAACUGUCAGGCUAGAGUGCAGGAGAGGAAGGUAGAAUUCCCGGUGUAGCGGUGAAAUGCGUAGAGAUCGGGAGGAAUACCAGUGGCGAAGGCGGCCUUCUGGACUGACACUGACGCUGAGGUGCGAAAGCAUGGGUAGCAAACAGGAUUAGAUACCCCAGUAGUC
rnacentral:rRNA from 1 species